rnacentral:rRNA from 1 species
GACGAACGCUGGCGGCGUGCCUAAUACAUGCCAGUCGAACGAGAGCGACCGGUGCUUGCACUGGUCAAUCUAGUGGCGAACGGGUGAGUAACACGUGGGUAACCUGCCCAUCAGAGGGGGAUAACAUCCGGAAACGGAUGCUAAAACCGCAUAGGUCUUCGAACCGCAUGGUUUGAAGAGGAAAAGAGGCGCAAGCUUCUGCUGAUGGAUGGACCCGCGGUGCAUUAGCUAGUUGGUGAGGUAACGGCUCACCAAGGCCGUGAUGCAUAGCCGACCUGAGAGGGUGAUCGGCCACAUUGGGACUGAGACACGGCCCAAACUCCUACGGGAGGCAGCAGUAGGGAAUCUUCCGCAAUGGACGCAAGUCUGACGGAGCAACGCCGCGUGAGUGAAGAAGGUUUUUGGAUCGUAAAACUCUGUUGUUAGAGAAGAACAAGUGCUGGAGUAACUGUUAGCGCCUUGACGGUAUCUAACCAGAAAGCCACGGCUAACUACGUG